rnacentral:rRNA from 1 species
GGCUCAGGACGAACGCUGGCGGCGUGCUUAACACAUGCAAGUCGAGCGGAAAGGCCUUUCGGGGUACUCGAGCGGCGAACGGGUGAGUAACACGUGAGCAACCUGCCUCUGACUUUGGGAUAACCCUCGGAAACGGGGGCUAAUACCGGAUAUUACUUCGCAGGGCAUCUUGUGGGGUGGAAAGCUUUUGCGGUCAGGGAUGGGCUCGCGGCCUAUCAGCUUGUUGGUGGGGUGAUGGCCUACCAAGGCGGCGACGGGUAGCCGGCCUGAGAGGGCGACCGGCCACACUGGGACUGAGACACGGCCCAGACUCCUACGGGAGGCAGCAGUGGGAAUAUUGCACAAUGGGCGGAAGCCUGAUGCAGCGACGCCGCGUGAGGGAUGACGGCCUUCGGGUUGUAAACCUCUUUCAGCUCCGACGAAGCGCGAGUGACGGUAGGAGCAGAAGAAGCGCCGGCCAACUACGUGCCAGCAGCCGCGGUAAGACGUAGGGCGCAAGCGUUGUCCGGAUUUAUUGGGCGUAAAGAGCUCGUAGGCGGCUUGUUGCGUCGACCGUGAAAACCCGUGGCUCAACUGCGGGCUUGCGGUCGAUACGGGCGGGCUGGAGUUCGGUAGGGGAGACUGGAAUUCCUGGUGUAGCGGUGAAAUGCGCAGAUAUCAGGAGGAACACCGGUGGCGAAGGCGGGUCUCUGGGCCGAUACUGACGCUGAGGAGCGAAAGCGUGGGGAGCGAACAGGAUUAGAUACCCUGGUAGUCCACGCUGUAAACGUUGGGCGCUAGGUGUGGGGGGCCUCUCCGGUUCUCUGCGCCGCAGCUAACGCAUUAAGCGCCCCGCCUGGGGAGUACGGCCCGCAGGCUAAAACUCAAAG